CCUACGGGAGGCAGCAGUGAGGAAUAUUGGUCAAUGGGCGGAAGCCUGAACCAGCCAAGUCGCGUGAGGGAUUAAGGCCCUAUGGGUCGUAAACCUCUUUUGUCAGGGGGCAAGGUCGUCCACGUGUGGGCGUAUGGAGAGUACCUGAAGAAAAAGCAUCGGCUAACGCCGUGCCAGCAGCCGCGGUAAUACGGAGGAUGCGAGCGUUAUCCGGAAUCACUGGGCGUAAAGGGCGCGUAGGCGGGAUAGCAAGUCAGAUGUGAAAUCCUAUGGCUUAACCAUAGAACGUAAUUUAAAACUAUUAUUCUAGAGUAUGGGAGAGGUAGGUGGAAUUCUUGGUGUAGGGGUAAA
rnacentral:rRNA from 1 species